CUUCCUGCAAGUCCGUUCAGCAGCCUUCUCUGUCCGGCCCCCCUCUGCCUCUGGAUAUUUCUCGGGCUCCUUGUGACUUUCGGUCGAACCUGUUUGCAGAUGCGCCAGCCUGCGAGGGCCCCUCUUUGGCCCCCCGGCACCAUCAUCUCCUGGCUCUGUGGAGCUGCAUUCAGGGGGCAGCCUGCCUCUUCCAUGCCCCGCAACCUCAGAAGCCUUCUUGAAGCUCCCCAAGGCAGAGUCAGCAUCCAGUGUCCUGGGGAUCCCUGGGGUGCAGCUCCCUCUCCUCUGUAGGGAAGAGAUGAAGAGAUGUAAAUUCAGAGACAUCAAGGAUCUGGUCUAAGGUCAUAUGGCUCAGAAGAAGCAAGGAUAAAAACCCAGGGCACCGGGGACCAGAAGUAUGGUAUGAGACUGUACUGAACACAGGCUAAGGAGCUUGAACAUCCCAGGAGCCAUGGGGAAUCACUGAAGAAUCCUAGUCAUAGAAUAUGGAGCACUCACCCCAUGGUACAACUGGUCCAGGACUGAUCAAUCUUCAUGUGAGAGAGUUUCCACCCCGGCAGCGCAGACCAAAGAAAAAACAAUGAAUUCACAGUCAGAAGGCUUGGGCUCAAAUCCAGCUUUGCCAGUUGCUAACAGAAUGAUCUUCUUCUAGCUGAAAUGAGUAAAUUCAACUUCUCUUCCAGUAGUCCUUUAAGCACCUGAAAGCCACUCCUGUUUCCUGAGACAUCUCACCCUGACUAAACCACCCUAGUCUCUUCAAGAAGCCCUCAAAUGGAAACACUUUCAUCCUUGAAAACCUUGCAUACCAUCUGACUGGUCUUUAGUGUGCCAAAGGUUCCACUACAAAGCCGUGCACGCAGUUAAAAACGGCUCCUCAAAAAAUGCCGGGCUUCCCCGGUGGCGCAGUGGUUGGGAGUCUGCCUGCUAAUGCGGGGGACGCGGGUUCGAGCCCUGGUCUGGGAAGAUCCCACAUGCCGCGGAGCAGCUGGGCCCGUGAGCCACAAUUACUGAGCCUGUGCGUCUGGAGCCUGUGCUCCUCAACAACAGAGGCCGCGAUGGUGAGAGGCCCGCACACCGCGAUGAAGAGCGGCCCCCACACCGCGAUGAAGAGCGGUCCCCGCACCGCGAUGAAGAGUGGCCCCCACUUGCCGCAACUAGAGAAAGCCCUCGCACGAACCGAAGACCCAGCACAGCCAAAAAUAAAUAAAUAAAUAAAAAUAAAAGUAGCUAUAAAAUUUAAAAAAAAAAAA